rnacentral:rRNA from 1 species
AGAGUUUGAUCCUGGCUCAGGAUGAACGCUGGCGGCGUGCUUAACACAUGCAAGUCGAACGAAGCGGUUUAGCGGAAGUUUUCGGAUGGAAGUUAAACUGACUGAGUGGCGGACGGGUGAGUAACGCGUGGGUAACCUGCCUCACACAGGGGGACAACAGCUAGAAAUGGCUGCUAAUACCGCAUAAGCGCACAGUUUCGCAUGAAGCAGUGUGAAAAACUCCGGUGGUGUGAGAUGGACCCGCGUCUGAUUAGCUGGUUGGUGAGGUAACGGCUCACCAAGGCGACGAUCAGUAGCCGACCUGAGAGGGUGACCGGCCACAUUGGGACUGAGACACGGCCCAAACUCCUACGGGAAGCAGCAGUGGGGAAUAUUGCACAAUGGGGGAAACCCUGAUGCAGCGACGCCGCGUGAGUGAAGAAGUAUUUCGGUAUGUAAAGCUCUAUCAGCAGGGAAGAGAAUGACGGUACCUGACUAAGAAGCCCCGGCUAACUACGUGCCAGCAGCCGCGGUAAUACGUAGGGGGCAAGCGUUAUCCGGAUUUACUGGGUGUAAAGGGAGCGUAGACGGCUUAGCAAGUCUGAAGUGAAAGCCCGGGGCUCAACCCCGGGACUGCUUUGGAAACUGUUAAGCUGGAGUGCUGGAGAGGUAAGCGGAAUUCCUAGUGUAGCGGUGAAAUGCGUAGAUAUUAGGAGGAACACCAGUGGCGAAGGCGGCUUACUGGACAGUAACUGACGUUGAGGCUCGAAAGCGUGGGGAGCAAACAGGAUUAGAUACCCUGGUAGUCCACGCCGUAAACGAUG